UAAACAGAGAAGAUUUAUAACAGCGAGGAUGCCCCAAACAGAGAGUAGAGUGGAAUUCCAGGGGAUCAGCUGGGAGGAGUAGAAGGAGGGGCCGGUGCGCCGUCAGAAGAUUGUCAUCAGCCUGCAGUGUGAACUCAGUAUUACUGUUUAUUGGUGACAAACUCUCAAGUUUUAUUUACAUCACAUGGGAGAAGAACUUCUAGUGUAAACAAUCAUUUGGAGUAGUACUGAACUUGCAAGGCUACCAUGCUUUUCAUCUGGAUCAUAUGCAGGACCUGGUCAGACACACUUCUGUGCACAGUUGUGUGAUGUCAAAAGCAACACGGUUUAGAGGAAGACUCUGCCCACACCAACAGAGUUUAAAAGGUCAAUGUUUUUCUCAAUGAAGACACCCAAGACAGAUUUGUAAAAUUUCCAAGAGACCUAAGGCAGAGUGGAGAAAUUUGCAUGAUUCUUGAUCCAACGAAGUUUCAAUCGGACUUGACAGGCUGGAAGCACCGUUGAAAACAAGAAGAUGAAAUGAAACUCAGAAAAAUGAUUCUGCAAAUUCUAAAGGUUCCACAAGGAAGAACUUGUCUCUGCUGAAUGCAAUGUCAGAUGUGGAGGUUGUGGGAGCCACUUUCAAGGUGUCUUCACUCACUUGGGGACCCUGAAAGCCAUUCAUUGGAAGAACUU